AGCAGGGGACCACCAGGUUGCCUAAGGAGGGGUGAACCGGCCCAGGUCGGAAACGGAGCAGGUCAAAACUCCCGUGCUGAUCAGUAGUGGGAUCGCGCCUGUGAAUAGCCACUGUACUCCAGCCUGGGCAACAUAGCGAGACCCUGUCUCUAAAAAAAAA
rnacentral:sRNA from 1 species